UUCUCUGUCUCUCUCCCUAGCUCGACUCAACCCUACCCGAGUACCCGAGGCCGGCCAGCCGGCAGCGGCGGCGGACGGCUGCGGGCACCGAGCAGGCAGGCGGCGGCGGCCUUGCACCCAGCGGGGCGGCCUGUGGUGGCGGCACGGCGCAGCCUUGCGCGGGGAGGGGCCUAUGGCGGGUGGCUGCGCGACUGCCGGCCUGCACCGCUGCGGGCACCUUAGCAGGGAGCAGGUAGCUCGCGCGUGGGCCGUUCAAUUGCUCAAUGUUCAAUUGCUCGUAGCUUCUACUUCAAUCUUCAAUCAAGAACUCAAAAUUGGACAAUUGCUAAGGUGUGCCUUUUGAAGAUGUGAUAGCUGGUUUGGCUUGGACGAGUACUUUGCCGACUAGUUGGACCGUGGAGUGGGAUCCAUCCCUGGCCAACAAUGACUCUGCCGAGUGAUGUCACGUAUGGGCUUCAUCGUGGUAUCCAAAUCGACGAUAGUUAAUCGUGUUUUCUUUCCGCUGCUACUUAAAAGUUUCUAUGUUUGAACUUAAAAGUACUCAUUUGAUGAACUCGACUUGUAAUAAUUGAUGUCCGACUUGUGAGACAAAGUUGUGGAAUGUUGUAA